GCUACAAGAAAAUUAAAAAACGUGUUACAAUAAUAAUAAUAAUAAUAAUACAAUUAUUUACUUUUCAAUUAUCAUUGUGUAAUAUAUUAUAAUAUCCGGUAUAACAUCCAUAAUCGUCGAAACAGUUUUGAAUAUUAUUAUUCUAAAAAAAAUUAUUCAACAAUGACGGGCAGAAAAAAAAAAUUAAAACAGUCGGUAACAAAUAGUAAUAUUACGAUUAUAACUGUGACGAUUUAAAUAAUACAUAAUAAUAAUAAAAUAAUAAUAAUACAUUUAUUAUUUAUUUAACUAUAUAAUAAUAAUUGCAUGUGACUUCGCCAUGCGGUGUAUUCGAGUGUUUUUUGGUAAAAUUAUUGCUAACAGUUUUUUUUUUUUUUAAAUUAUGUGCUUUAUACAUCAACAAAUUUUCACAAUACAUUAGAAAACUAAAAAAAAAAAAUAUAUAUAUAUAUAUAUAUGUAUAAUUAAAAACUAUGUCGUAUGCCGAACAAUCGGCGGACCCCGAAACCGUUUUCGAAAUUUCGGAUCAGGGUCGUGAGGUAUAAUAAUGAUCAUAUUACAUAAUAUUGCCUACAUAUAUAUAUUAUGUGAAAAAUCUAUUUAACCUAUAAAUUAUAAAGAAAAAAAAAACAAAACGGUAUUGAUUUAGAACAAUAUAAUAUAAUUAUCUUUAUUUCCGGUUACAUUAUAUGCAUUUGCUACUUAAAAUUAAGGGUACAAUAUUAUUAUUAUUGUAUAAUAUCGAGCCGCGGUAUUGUUGUGAAAAAAAAAAAAUCUUCGAUACACCCGGUCGUCUAAUAUGUACCUCUACGUAUGUAGUUGUUUUUUGUUUUUGAUUAUUCGAGCGAUGACGACAGACGAUUGCGAAUAAUAAACAAAAUCUUUGGUCUCGGGAAAGAAGGGCUCGUGUCGAUUUCGUAUAGUUUUCAAUACGAACGAAUAAAAUUAUUUUGAAAAUUAUAUAAUAGCCUGAGCCACUAAGUUACCGUACCGGCUAAAGCAAUGGCUAAGUGCCUUGAGACAGUGGCGAAAUAAACGGGGUCUUUGAUAAAGUGUUGCUUUUCGAUUUUUAAACAUUUUUUUUUUUAAUUUAGGGACGGACGGGCGCUCAAUAUGAAAAUAACUAAAUUUUCGUUUAUUGAAAAUAGAUAUACGUAUUGAAUUUUGCCGGGAAAUAUUGGUGGGCAGAUUAUCUAGAUUGCUUCUGGAUUAUUUUGGGUACGUUUCGCCACUGACUUAAGUCAUAUUAUAAUAUUAUACUACUUGUGCCAAAAAAAAAUAAAUAGGUAUGUAGAUAUCUAUAUCAUAAUAAUAUGAUAGCGACUUGAGAUAUUUUAGUUUUCGGUAUAAAACGCGUAAUAGAAUUAUAUUAUAUACAUAAUAUUGGGUUUAUCACUUGUUUCAUUUAAACCAAAAAAAAAAAAAAAAAAAAAAAUAAUAAUAAUAAUAAUAAUAAUGCGAAACAAAAUUAUAUAUAUAUAAAAAAAAAAAUUGACAUAAAACCUUCUCCCCUGGGACCAAAGAUAGAUAGUCGUACGCGAAAAAAAAUUUAAUUUAAUCCCUAUUUAGGAUUUACCGCCCCGUAAAUUCGUUUGUUCGCGUCAUCGUCGGCGGCGGAACUAAAAAAAAAAAAAAAUCAAUAGAUCCUUCGCUGGGUUUCAUAAUAGAAAAAUCGUUUAAUCUCAUCGUUUAGAAUUUUUACGAUUUUCAUUUCAUUUAUUUUACUAGGUAUAAGUAUUAUUUUAAAGCGAUCGCGGACUAACAUAAUAUCGUAGAUAUUGUACAUUCACUGCUUACACACACACACGAUAGUAUAAUAUGUAUAGGAUGAUGGUUUAUAGUUCGAAACAUCCAGUAUGGGUCCCGGAUCCGUAAAAUAUUUCAGUAAUAAUAUAGGUGCCCGUAUACAGGGUACGCGGGCUAUAACAUGCACUCAUAUUACAAAGGGGUAUGCGUGGAAAAACAAUCGUAAUUCAGUCGCGCAAAAUAUACCCGGAAACGUUCUCGCAUUUCUCCUCGUUUCCGUUCGGACUAUAGUCUAUAAUGAUAAUACGGUGACCUUCCUUUCCUCGUUUCCCCUUCGUACGCGUCAAUUCGUCAAAAUUCAUCAUUUUCGCGACCGUUUGACGCUAUAUUAUCAUGAUCGUUUUUCCCCGAAACCCUUCGUGUACGCAGUUUAUACACUCUAUAUAGUGUAGGUUACGCAUACAUGCAUGGUAUGGAUGUGUGUGUGUGUGUGUGUGUGUAUACAAGUAUAACAGCAGUAAACGGUGUGGUAAAUAUCUAUUCAUAUGUAAUCAUCGGGUUUUUUUGUACUCUCGAAACAGAUUUGAAAACUCUAACACCAUAAUAUUAUUUAUGCUAUACAAUAUAAUCAAGGCACCUCCUAUAUAAAUAUAUAUUUAUAGAUUCUGAUUUAUAUUAUUAUGGUAAUAAUAUUAUUCGUAAAAAUAAUAGAAAUGUUAAAGAAAAAAAAUACCUAAAAAAUAUUUAACAAAUAUAAUAAUAUAUAAUAUAAUAUAAUAUAUGUGCUAAAUCUAAAUUGUACGUCAUUUUCCUUAUAGUCUAAUAUAAUAAUAUAUUGCGUAAUCUAAACAAUAUAAUAUUCGGUCUAGAAAAAAAAAAAAAAAAAUCAAACGAACAUCACAAGUCCAUUGCGAAAUAUUUGUACAAUUCGAUUACUCUUAUAGCCGUUAAUAAACUAUUUUAUUAUAAUAGCUUAAAUUCAUUUAAAAACCAAAAUAUUAAUAUUAUUAUUAUUAUUAUAAUUUUUAUUUUUUUUAAAACACAUUUUUUUUGUUUUUCAUAUAAACGUUAAACUAUUAUCACAAUCAGUCGAUUUGCCCCUCAUAUUUAAAAAAUACAUUUUUUUUUUUUUUAAUUUUAUACGCUUAUCUUGCUAUGGAUUUACAUAAUAAUAAUAUACGAUGUUGUAUGUUUAACAUAUUUUGUGAUCACCGAAAUCAUUAUUUGCAAAAACAUAAAAAUAAAGAAUAAUAUAUUUCAUAAUAUACAGGGUGUAUCUAUAUGAUUUUACAAUUUCCUAUAUAAUACACAAUGGCUUUAGAAUAUUUUAUUUAUUUAGUCUCCGAGUCGAAACAAGGAGCGAAUUAUAAACGAAAACAGACAGAUUUAUACUACGUAGUAUAUAUAUACGCGAAGAGAGAGAAAUGUAGAGAGAGGGAGUUUGAGAAAUGCCGUAAAAAAAUAUCGUACGAAAAUCCGUAUCUUUUUUCCAACAAGCACAGGCGUAAUAAUUUCACUAUUAUAAUAUGGUACAUACUUGUAAAGUGCACUUGAGUAAAAGUAUUUAAAUAAAAACACGAGUAUAUAUUUCGUAAAUAUUUUUCAAAAUUAUUUCUAUUUGAAAUCCAACACCUAUCUUGAAUACGUUAAUAAUAAUGCUGAAAUCGUUUUUAAAUAUUUAAGCGCAUCGCGAUACCACACGCGUGCCGUUAACAACACCGCGUCGAAUGUAAUGCACGGAUUCGAAAUUUUAAAUUGUGUUGCAGGUAUUAAACUAGUAUUAUACUAUAAAUAAUGAUGUUAAAAACAAAAAAAAAAAAGAAAACCGAAAAUUGACGAAUCUAAUGCACGAGCUUACAAUGUUAUGUAAAAAUAAAAGUAUUUGAAUAAAACAAGUACUUGUAUUUUAUAAACACUUUUCAAAAGUGUCUGCAUUCGUACUCGAGUAUACCAACGUGUUCUAAAUUUCUUGACGGAUUUUAAACAUAAUACACCUAUCCGUAUUUGUACUCAAAAUACUUUUAAAAAGUAUCUUUUACAAGUAUUAGGUAUAUAUAUAUUAUAAUAAUGUAAAUGUGUACGAUAAAACGGAAUAACUGCACGUGAGCCGUCCACGCACGUUUCCGUAACACGGUUAGUUUAAUCCAUUAUUAUUAUUAUUGUUGUUGUUCUUUUCGUGUAAGAAAAUGCGAAAUUCUCGUCGUCGUCUGAGAGAAAAUGUCAUGAUAAAAGCUUAGUGGUGGCUGAAGAAAAACUACGUGCAACUUUGGUGGGGUGGGAGGAUAUGCGCCCGUUAUUGUGCUUACGGGGCGGCGGGCGGGCAUAAGUAUGGAGUCUUUACCCCCGAUACCUGACCCCGUGACAGUCUUGACCGAUUUUCGACAAACCCGUAAUAUAUUACGUAUAAUAUACGAGUAGUAUCAAGGCUGGGUUUGAAUUAAUGAACGACAAUAUAUUUACUCGGAUUGUAUAGGUAGUUAAAUACAUUAAGACAAUUAAUUUAUAAAUUUUAUUUAGAUACUUAGGUAGGUACUUAAUUGUUUUGUCGUGAUAUUGCAAAAUAGUGAAAAUGAUUCCAACUGUAGAGUAAAAUAAGUUAGUUUCGAAAUUGACCCCGAUUAACGCGAUAAGAAUCGAAAAGGCACUGUUUAUUGUUAUAAUGAUUUUUUUUUUUCGGAUCGUUAUAGUUUUCGGGAUAUUUAAAUCCGGGUACUAAUAAUAAUAUUAAUUAAAAAAAAAAAAAUAAUAAUAACGUUAAGUAUUAUAAAUUUCAUUCGACACGACGACGACGACUGAAAAUACAAUGAUAAUUAUUAUUAUUGUCAUGACGACGGGAUCGGAGAUACUCGGAAGUGCAGAACACGUUUUUAAUGAAACAACAAUAAUAAAAUAAUAAUCGACGGUUUUUUCAAACGGUUAGCGAUAAGUGACGAUAACACGUUUUAUCAUUAUUCGAUAUUAUUUCGAGUACCCAAUAUAAUGUACUUAUUAUGUAUAUUAAACUCGUCAGUGGCGGCGCGAGAUAUUUUAUUCCGCGAGUCCCGUUGAGAAUUUAUUUAUUAUAAUAUUAACCGAUUGCUAACACCUAACCUACAAUUUGAAAACCUAUCUGCUCGUCUGUUGUAUUCCACUACUAAGUCCUACUCGCUAGUGUUUCGUACCGUAAGCCCGAAUGCCCGUCCGGGACUCGAAAAACUGCCUUCGCCCCGCUCCAACGAUACUCGUAUUGCAGUACGUUGCCGGUCCGUUAUAUUUUGUGCGCGUCGGAAAAAUAAUAUUGAUAUUGUAUUAUAAAUUGUGUAUUAUUAUUAUCGUUGAUAGUAUUAGAAAACAAAAACGGGGAAAAAAAAACGGCGAUAAUAGUAAAAUAAUGUAAAUAAAAAUCGACCACCAACUGUUUGUGAUUAGAAUCAGAAAACAAAAAAAAAAAGGAAGGGGGGAACGAACUCUGAUAACCUCGCCCCGACUGUUUUAUAAUAAUAAUUAUUGCCGAUACAGAUGAUAUUGUACCUAGUAUAAUUAUAUAAUAAAUGAUAAUGUAAAAUUUCGUUUUUUUUUUUUUUCCCCCAUAUAAUAUUGUAAUAAGAAAUACGCAUGGUACAUAGUGAAAAAUGUUUGCACACGAUUAUUGCACUUUAUAAUAAUAUUAUACGGGUAGUUUCGUGUCGCGUUACGACAUAUUAUAUUAUACCGUUGUAAACUUAUGAAGUACAAAAAUUUAAACGCGACAUUAAAACGCAUCUAUAAUAAGUAAUAACAAACGGCAUAAUACCCGGAAAGUUUUCGUUCCGAUUUACGAAAAACUGUUACAUAUGUAAUUAUUGCUAUUCGUGAACAUGUGUAUACGUACAGAUAAAUUAUUAUUAUUACGACGAUGACGAUAAUAAUAUAGAUGUACGUGAUAAUGUUUAUAAUAUAAUAUUACAGUAUCUACAAGGCCGUGCGCGAGUCGACGAUGAUAAUAAUAUUAAAAAUUGGUUAAUUGAAAAAAAAAACAAAAAAAUUACAGAGUAAUGUAGGUGUGCAAUAUUAGUAUAAAGAACGUGCGUAAUAUUUUCAAUAUUUCGUUCGAAUCGAAACAGUUCACCUUCUGUAUUCAUAUAACUGAACGCGAUAUUCAAAGUCAACUCGUUAUUAAUUGGUAGUAAAUCGUAUUAUUGCGAACAA
rnacentral:lncRNA from 1 species